UUUCCGUAGGUGAACCUGCGGAAGGAUCAUUAUUGUAUAACCGAGGUGCGAGGGCUGUCGCUGACCCGAAAGGUCGUGCACGCCCGAGUGCCCUCACACACAUCCACCUCACCCCUAUGUGCACCACCGCGUGGGUCCCCCUUUGGCUUGUUCGGAGGGGGGCUUACGUUUUCACACAAACUUUGAAUGCAGUGUAGAAUGUAUUUUUUGUUUUUGCGAUCACGCAAUCAAUACAACUUUCAACAACGGAUCUCUUGGUUCUC
rnacentral:misc_RNA from 1 species